GACGAGGAGAGACUUUACAUGUGGCCCAGUUUAAAAAAAAAUUAAGCCCCUAAACACUUCCCUUCAAUAGUUUCCUCUUAGCCUAUAUCUUCUCUCCCUCUCUGAGAGAGUUGAUCUGAGUAGGAAGCAAGGAAGAAUGAAUCCAGGGUGUGGCUGAGAAAUGUUCCUAAAAAUGGAAAUCUUUGUUACUGGCUAUCUUAAGAGGCCUCCUGCUAUAAUGCUGGUGAAGGGGUUAAAUUGGAUCCAAACUCUGAUACCGACCUGGUGACUGAAGGGAAGCUGUGAGGACUGGUCUGCUGCUGCUUCUCCACCCCUUGCUUGAUAGGGUAACAUGACAACAUUCUAAGGAAUAAAGAUGAGGAAACUGAAGCCCAAAGUCAUGCAAGUGGUUAAAUAACAGAAACAGGAUCCCAAGUCCAGUUCCUCUAUCUCCUAAGUGAUCAAUAAAGUCUUGGACUGGUCACUGUCUGU